AAUUUGACAGCCUCUUCUCUUUCUGUCAUUUAAUUUUUUAUUGUUUCUUACUUUCUCUCGGUGCGUCGACUCUCUCUCCCCUUUCACCGUUUUUCUUCCUUCAUCUCACCCAGAACUUCAAACACUUUGCAUGUCUGCAAAUUUCUUCUCUCUUCUUGAAUUACCGGAACAUGGAUCAAAGAUGCUCAGAUUCAUCUUCAGAUGCUGCGAAUGAAGAAUUUUGGAAUCUUGCCAAUUCAUCAUCAGACGAGGAAUUGAUGAAUUUGCAGAUUAUUGCUAUACAAGAGAAUGGAAGAAGAAGGCGUCGGGGCUCAGUUCCUGGUCGCAGAUUAUUGAUGAAUUUGCAGAUUAUUGCUAGUUUGAUCAAUACUGUAUCUGAUGCAGUUAUUUCUUUGCUGAGGUCUUUGAUUUUUUCAGAAAUUUUUUCCUGAUUGUAUUCCAUAUGAAUAUUCUCCUUAUGAUAUUCCCAUUGGCCAUAUAUUUUUACGGCUGCACCACCGCCCCUGCUUUCUUUCUUUUGUCUACAUUACAAUCUCUUCAAUGCUCAAGUCUUAUUUGUGGCUGUAAGUUCUCAUCGUCUGCAGAAUCGUGUACCUCAACCAAUGUUGAUACUUAAGUUGUGAUUGUAUAUUGGCUUCCUGAAUACGUUUUGCAGGGUCUGUGUUAUGUUUUCCCUCUUGUGUUUAUAAUUGUCGAGAUGGUAUAAAUGAUUUAGUGCCUAGAUAGAAUAUGGAAUAUUUAUCCUUGCAAGUGUUGCUACAAAGCUUAACAUAUGAAUUAGGAACGGGAAAUCAUUUUGCUUGUUUCUUUUGCUGAUUGAGUAGUAGAGUUGGUUGAUUCAAGUAAUGAAGGAAAGUGCAUAUAGUGAGAAAAGAUAUGUUAUUUAAAGUUUGCUCGCAAGUAUUGCUUUUGAUAGGCUUUAGGGGAUAAGAAGAUUGUUUGCUUUAUUCUGUAAAAUUUUGAAUACUCCUAUCAAAGAGGCCUUCAAAUAAUAAUUUGAGAAUGAUACUGUUUUACCAACAACACUUGACUUCCAGGCGCAUUAAAUUUCAUGUUCAAAUGUAUCCAGAAAGCCUACUGUUAUGGCAUCUCUUCUAUUGAAAUCUGACCUGCAUUUGUCUUUGUUGUAAUUUUUCUUAUAUUGGCCAGAUUUUUGUGAUUGAUCCAAGUUGUGUUUCAGGUCAUCUAUGAUAGAGGUAGCGACAUCAUAAUUGUGAGGCACAUUUGUGUUAUUUUAAGAACUUACUUUUGUAAAAGCAGUUUUAAGAGAUUUGUUCUUAUAUUUUUUGGUUCCAUCUGGGCGAUUAGAAGGAAGCACCCAUUUAGUCAAAUGGCAAAUGACCAAAAGGAAAGAAGAUUACUACCCUGAAAUCUUGAGUGUUGUGUUUACUGAAGCUGCAGGUUAAUUUACUAGGAGUUGUUCAAGGUAACUUCAUGACACAGUCUGUUUGCAAUUGUCAAUGGAAGGUGUGUCGAAGACCCUAGAUCAAAGGCAUCGGAUUUAACAAGCAAUUCACUGUCAGGCAAAAAAUGUCUGUGCAUCCUCAUUUUGCUUCAGCAGUGAGAAACCAGAUAUGAUUGCAUUCCAUGAGACCAUCGUGUGUUCUGUUCUGUGAUGUAUUUUUUCAGCCUCUUCCAUCAUUCCACACUUGGAGUACAUAUCAACAAGGGCACCUCCAAUAAACAAGUUCAUGCCCAUUCCAGAUUUAAUUAUUCUGCUAUGGAUUUCCAUACCAUGGUUUAAAGAAUGAUGACCUGCAUAAGCUCUUAUGUAUUUUCAUGAGCUAUAAUUGUCUUCACUUGCCUUUAACUUUUAAUUAACAAAUAAAUAUCAAAUAUUGCAGAGGCUUCACUGGAAACUUGCUUCAAGAUCAACUCAUGGACUGAUGCUGACUUCUCCACUCAGGCAUGUUCACAAGAUUUUUUUGAGUUUCUGCAAAUUUUCAGUUUAGGAUGCAGUCACCAAAUUUGUUUGGGGGGUCAAGAAAGCCUUCAAUCCAUUUUAGUUUGUAUUGAAAUCUGGCAGCUUUCUUAGUACGUAUUGAAAUCUUCUUCUAUGGGGGGUCAAGAAAGCCUUCAAUCCAUUUUAGUUUGUUGCUAUAUAUCAGUAUAUAUCAGUUUGUAUCAGUUUGUUGCUGGGAUCUCGAGUUUGUAUCAGUUUGUUGCUAUAUAUCAGUUUGUAUCAGUUUGUUGCUGGGAAGACGAGUUUGUAUCAGUUUAUAUCAGUUUGUUGCUAUCAAAUUCAAGCUGUUUCUGUUU